rnacentral:rRNA from 1 species
CCAAUAGCGUAUAUUAAAGUUGUUGCAGUUAAAAAGCUCGUAGUUGAAUUUCGGGAUUAGUGCGCCGGUCGUGCCUUCGGUAUGUACUGGUGUUACUGGUUCCUACCUUCUGACGAACCGUCAUGUCAUUAAUUUGGUGUGGCGGGAAAUCAGGACUGUUACUUUGAAAAAAUUAGAGUGUUUAAAGCAGGCUCGCGCUUGAAUACAUUAGCAUGGAAUAAUGAAAUAGGACGUUCGAUCCUAUUUUGUUGGUUUCUAGGAUUGACAUAAUGAUUAAUAGGGAUAGUUGGGGGCAUUAGUAUUCAAUUGUCAGAGGUGAAAUUCUUGGAUUUAUUGAAGACUAACUACCGCGAAAGCAUUUGCCAAGGAUGUUUUCAUUAAUCAAGAACGAAAGUUAGGGGAUCGAAGACGAUCAGAUACCGUCGUAGUCUUAACCAUAAACUAUGCCGACUAGGGAUCGGAUGAUGUUAAUUUUUUAAUGACCCAUUCGGCGCCUUACG